rnacentral:rRNA from 1 species
UACGUAUGGGGCGAGCGUUGUUCGGAAUUAUUGGGCGUAAAGGGCGUGUAGGCGGGGAGUUAAGUCAGGUGUGAAAUCCAUAGGCUCAACCUGUGAACUGCACUUGAUACUGAUUCUCUUGAGUUCGGGAGAGGAGAGCGGAAUUCCCGGUGUAGCGGUGAAAUGCGUAGAUAUCGGGAAGAACACCAGUGGCGAAGGCGGCUCUCUGGCCUAGAACUGACGCUAAGGCGCGAAAGCGUGGGGAGCGAACGGG